rnacentral:rRNA from 1 species
AGUGAACGCUGGCGGUAGGCCUAACACAUGCAAGUCGAACGGCAGCACAGUAAGAGCUUGCUCUUACGGGUGGCGAGUGGCGGACGGGUGAGGAAUACAUUGGAAUCUACUUUUUCGUGGGGGAUAACGUAGGGAAACUUACGCUAAUACCGCAUACGACCUACGGGUGAAAGCAGGGGAUCUUCGGACCUUGCGCGAUUGAAUGAGCCGAUGUCGGAUUAGCUAGUUGGCGGGGUAAAGGCCCACCAAGGCGACGAUCCGUAGCUGGUCUGAGAGGAUGAUCAGCCACACUGGAACUGAGACACGGUCCAGACUCCUACGGGAGGCAGCAGUGGGGAAUAUUGGACAAUGGGCACAAGCCUGAUCCAGCCAUACCGCGUGGGUGAAGAAGGCCUUCGGGUUGUAAAGCCCUUUUGUUGGGAAAGAAAAGCAGCAGGUUAAUACCCCGCUGUUCUGACGGUACCCAAAGAAUAAGCACCGGCUAACUUCGUG